CAAGCAGCUGAGCAGACGAGGCUGCUCGGAAAACAUUCACCCAUUGAUGGACACAGAAGAUAAAGGCUUUUCUCUCUCCAUCUUUCCUGCUGCAGACACAUGCUGGUGGCAAGUCUAGAGAGCAGCAGCAGCAAUCUUGCUAGUAUUGACAGCACUAGAAGCAGCUUCAGAGAAACCCCCUACAACGUUAUAAGCGGCAAAAUAGGAGCAUUCAUUAAGCGUACUCUGAGAGGCGGCCUUUUACACUUCAUUGCCCAAGGACAGCAGCUCUGAAAUGGGCUGCUCCUCGGGCCGUCAGCCCCCAGCCUCAGUCCUCCACCCGGACCUGGGCUGUGGCAACAGCAGUGAUGCCAACACCUUACCUCAGGACUCUGACAACCAAAAUCAGAGCCUAAAUGACUGCGGAGAAGGAGGGGAAGUUGAGGAAAGCCUCGGAAGGGGACAAGUUAAACCUCCAGACUCUCUCCCCACGUUGGAGAGACUUGCCCAGGCAACAGGCGGGACAGAAAAGUCCUGGUAUCGCUGCGUGUUCCCAUUUGGCGUGAUAUCUCUUGUCAUUGGUAUGGCAGGUACUGGGGUGACAUUCACUUUUAACACCCCUGCUCCAGACCAAAGUGGUGUCGGUGGCGCUUCUAUGUGUCGGCGUGGUGAUGCUUCUUGUGGCAGCUGUUUGUUGGAGGGCCCACAGACUGAGGAAGAAGAAGAAGAAGGAAAGUGGAUUUUUCACUGCUGAUCAGGGUACUUUGUGACAAGGGGAUGGCUUUUAUCUCUUGCAGGCAGACUACUACUAUAAGGUGGACUGCUGGUUUUCCUCUCUGCACAGACUGUUAUGCUGUUAUUAUUACUAUGACAACAGAACUUUAUAACAGUUUCAGCAGAUAUUUUUUGAUGCACUCAAAGCAGAGGCACCACCUCUGUGCUGAGCAGAUACAAAACAGUGUGUCACAUUGAAACCUUCCCCUCUACCUUCCCUUUCCUUCUUGUCAUAGGGUGUAUCUAAAGAUCCAGUUAGGAGCAGAGCCAAAGGCAGAUUAUAGAUUAUUGCUCCACCGUUGGCCCCUUUGUGUCAGGGAUAAGUAUGAAAGAUAGGCACCUCAGGAACAGCUGUGUAAAAUACCCAUUUAUCCUCUCCCUGCUGCUUCAAGGAUAAAGAGAUGUGCCUCAGUGGGAACAAAAAGUAACCUCAGAACAAACACUUUGGGAUUAGCUCAUCCAGAAGGCAGCGGUGACCAGAGCAGGAGUAUUUUAGCACUGAUGUUUGACUGUGCAAUUAGUUUACUGAAUGUAGGGACAUUUUUUCCCUACCUAAGGAGCAGAUGCUCCUUAGAGUUAAACAUGACACAAUUUUCCCAAACUACAACAGAAGUGCUUUUUGGUGCAUAAACGUCUUUGAGCCAUUAGUUUCUCAAGUGCAGUUUCUCGUCUGGUGAAAAGUACGAGGGAGCAGUGAGUAUGUUUCUGAAAAGGAAGCACUGAAUGAGGUUUAAUCAUACAGAACAAACUGCUAUUCUUUACAAUGAAAUCCCUAACAUUUCAGUUUGAAAUCCAGAUUCAUGUUAUGUUAUCAGGUCCAGACUCUUUAUUUGUCACUUCCUAAUAUUUCCACAUAAGCAGGAAAACCAAGCUCUGGAAAAAUUAAUCUUUUGAGGGUAUGACUCCAUUUUCAGCCACCUUGCAAAUGAAAUUGCUUCCCCCGUCAUUCUUAGACUUGUCCUAUAUGAUUUGUACACUGUUAUAGCAUGCAAAUCCAUUAUAGGCAUAGCUCAGCGAGCACAGACCAAUAAAGAUAAAAGUGUGUAACAGCCAUGUUCUUGCCCUAAUUGAUUUAUCUGAUGCUUUGGGUAACGCUGAACCAAACAGGAGCGACAACCAUCGGAUGUUUAAAUAGGAGCAGCAAAGAAAAAUCUAUUCUUUCCAUGUUUUGAGAAAGUGUUUCACCUGUUUAGAUAUAGAUACUGGAUGAGCUUAACUAGAUAUGUCAUUCUUAUUGAUCAGGUUAGCUUAAUUGAUUGUUACCUGUUGUGAAAGUCUGUCUUGAAUUUGUCCCUAAAAUGUUUCUAUACAAAUUCCUUAUACUGAACUUAUCUAUUUCCUCUUGCUGGUAAAUCCUUCUUCUUUGUUGUUGUGGAGCCAAAAUGUAGCAUGUAAGCUAAGAAAAACAGCUAUACUAGCACAUGGUCAUUACCAGCAGGUUACGGGGAUCUGAGGAAGACCCAGCAGCUUAAUGUCAGCUGAAAUGAUGUAUUUUGUUGAUGUUAUUAGAUCAUUAUUAAUACUAUGAUAAAAUGUUCAGUGGGCAUUGUGCAGUCCAACAUUUUGCAUGAGGUUACUACAGUUAAUGUGGAGCAGCAGCGAUACAAAAUGUACAUGUGUGUGUACACACCAGUGCUACAGUUAAUCUUUUUACCUUCGUCUCUCCACAUCUCCCUCAAAAGCCUAUUAUCCAGUUUUAUUUGCUACUUUCACGGUUUGCUUAUAAAACCAGAGGUAAUCUCAUUUAAUCCCCUCACAGGAUUGAUGUGAUUCGUUAUGUAUGCCAACAUAUUUCUUUCUGAAAAACUAAAUAUUCCUCUGAAUUACAUAUUAUGAUUUUUUUUUUUUUUCUAUGUUGGUACUAAGAGUGUAGCCACGUUGAUGAAUGUACCUCCAGCAGUGUCUUAUUAACGUCCUUGUACAGUGUGUAAAGACUAUUGGUGUAUCUUCUAUUUUGAGUAGACACAGACUUAGUCAUGCAGGAGAGGAUUUAUUUGAGGUAACUGCCUAAAUUCCUGUUUUUAUUUCAGUUAUAGCAGCAGUCUGGUUGUUAUGAUUUCAAAUGUAAGUGUGUAAAAUUCAUUCCAAAACCUGAGAAUCCGACAUUUAAUUAACAAACACAACGUAGAGUUUUUAAAUUGAGGGGACACUGAGCAUAAUCUG